rnacentral:rRNA from 1 species
AUUGAACGCUGGCGGCAGGCCUAAUACAUGCAAGUCGAGCGAACAGAUGAAGUGCUUGCACUUCUGACGUUAGCGGCGAACGGGUGAGUAACACGUAAGGAAUCUACCUAUAAGCGGGGGAUAACAUUCGGAAACGGGUGCUAAUACCGCAUAAUAUCUUCUUCCGCAUGGAAGAAGAUUGAAAGACGGCUCUGCUGUCACUUAUAGAUGACCUUGCGGUGCAUUAGUUAGUUGGUGGGGUAAUGGCCUACCAAGACGAUGAUGCAUAGCCGACCUGAGAGGGUGAUCGGCCACAUUGGGACUGAGACACGGCCCAAACUCCUACGGGAGGCAGCAGUAGGGAAUCUUCCGCAAUGGGCGAAAGCCUGACGGAGCAAUGCCGCGUGAGUGAAGAAGGCCUUCGGGUCGUAAAACUCUGUUAUAAGAGAAGAACAAAUUGUAGAGUAACUGCUACAGUCUUGACGGUAUCUUAUCAGAAAGCCACGGCUAACUACGUGCCAGCCGCCGCCGUAA